rnacentral:rRNA from 1 species
AGGACGAACGCUGGCGGCGUGCUUAACACAUGCAAGUCGAGCGGUAAGGCCUUUCGGGGUACACGAGCGGCGAACGGGUGAGUAACACGUGAGUAAUCUGCCCUUCACUCUGGGAUAAGCACUCGAAAGGGUGUCUAAUACCGGAUACGACCGUCCCUCGCAUGAGGUGGUGGUGGAAACUUUUGUGGGUGGGGGAUGUGCUCGCGGCCUAUCAGCUUGUUAGGUGGGGUAAUGGCCUACCAAGGCUUCG